UGACAGCACUGUCUGUCGUACCAAGGGUUAAUAGUUACGUUCGUAUUUAUUGGCCGGAACGUGACGGUUAGGUAAGC
rfam:Prevotella sp. CAG:891 genomic scaffold, scf350